AUUGAACGCUGGCGGCAUGCCUUACACAUGCAAGUCGAACGGCAGCACGGGAGCUUGCUCCUGGUGGCGAGUGGCGAACGGGUGAGUAAUGCAUCGGAACGUGCCCUGAAGUGGGGGAUAACGUAGCGAAAGUUACGCUAAUACCGCAUAUUCUGUGAGCAGGAAAGCAGGGGAUCUUCGGACCUUGCGCUUUUGGAGCGGCCGAUGUCGGAUUAGCUAGUUGGUGGGGUAAAGGCCCACCAAGGCGACGAUCCGUAGCGGGUCUGAGAGGAUGAUCCGCCACACUGGAACUGAGACACGGUCCAGACUCCUACGGGAGGCAGCAGUGGGGAAUUUUGGACAAUGGGCGCAAGCCUGAUCCAGCCAUGCCGCGUGAGUGAAGAAGGCCUCGGGUUGUAAAGCUCUUCGUGGGAGAA
rnacentral:rRNA from 1 species